rnacentral:rRNA from 1 species
CCUACGGGUGGCUGCAGUGGGGAAUAUUGGUCAAUGGGCGCGAGCCUGAACCAGCCAAGUAGCGUGAAUGAUGACUGCCCUACGGGUUGUAAGCUUCUUUUAUAAAGGAAUAAAGUGAGGCACGUGUGCCUUUUUGUAUGUACUUUAUGAAUAAGGAUCGGCUAACUCCGGGCCAGCCGCCGCGGUAAUACGGAGGGUCCGAGCGUUAUCCGGAUUUAUUGGGUGUAACGGGAGCGUAGAUGGGUUGUUAAGUCAGUUGUGAAAGUUUGCGGCUCAACCGUAAAAUUGCAAUGGAUACUGGCAGCCUUGAGUACAGUUGAGGUAGGCGGAAUUCGAGGUGUAGCGGUGAAAUGCUUAGAUAUCACGAAGAACACCGAUUGCGAAGGCAGCUUACUAAACUGCCACUGACAUUGAUGCUCGAAAGUGUGGGUAUCAAACAGGAUUAGAUACCCCGGUAGUC